CCUACGGGAGGCAGCAGUGGGGAAUAUUGCACAAUGGGGGAAACCCUGAUGCAGCGACGCCGCGUGAGUGAAGAAGUAAUUCGUUAUGUAAAGCUCUAUCAGCGGGGACGAAAAUGACGGUACCUGCGUAAGAAGCCCCGGCUAACUACGUGCCAGCAGCCGCGGUAAUACGUAGGGGGCAAGCGUUAUCCGGAUUUACUGGGUGUAAAGGGAGCGUAGGCGGGAGGGCAAGUCUGGAGUGAAAGGCAGGGGCUCAACCCCCGGACUGCUCUGGAAACUGUUCGGCUGGAGUGCAGGAGAGGUAAGUGGAAUUCCUAGUGUAGCGGUGAAAUGCGUAGAUAUUAGGAGGAACACAAGUGGCGAAGGCGGCUUACUGGACUGUUACUGACGCUGAGGCUCGAAAGCGUGGGGAGCAAACAGGAUUAGAUACCCCAGUAGUC
rnacentral:rRNA from 1 species